CUUAGCAUCACAUUCUGUUUGGAGGAUCCCUUCCAUACCGAGCCUCCUCGGGAGCUACCGGUGACGGUUGGACUCAACUCUUUAAACUACGACGAGGGAAAUGCAACGUCAGAGUCGUGUUGGCUGGACGGAGGCCUAAUCUACAUGUACUGAGCAUUAUAAAGAGUUUCCAUAAUUCAUCAGCAGAAAUUAUGCUACAGUUGUAAUGAAAUAACAAGAAUCAACCAGAUGGAACUGAAGCCAGUCACUGUGGGAAUUUGAGACAUUCAU
rnacentral:lncRNA from 12 species